GGGGUGCUCGAGUGGCGAACGGGUGAGUAACACGUGAGUAACCUGCCCUUGACUUUGGGAUGACUUCAGGAAACUGGGGCUAAUACCGGAUAGGAGCUCCUGCUGCAUGGUGGGGGUUGGAAAGUUUCGGCGGUUGGGGAUGGACUCGCGGCUUAUCAGCUUGUUGGUGGGGUAGUGGCUUACCAAGGCUUUGACGGGUAGCCGGCCUGAGAGGGUGACCGGCCCCAUUGGGACUGAGAUACGGCCCAG
rnacentral:rRNA from 1 species